CUGUGGGACUGGGUGGGACAGAAACUUCCAUCUAUAAAACUUCCUCUUGUUUUUUUUUCUUUUUUUUAAAGCCAGAUAAUGUAGAAACUAUGGUAGAUGUAAAGAACUGUUAGCUAUAACAGAACUAUUUACUAAAAUGUAACUUUCUUCCCCAAUAGCUCAGAUGUUAUGAGUUGGUUUAAAGAAACUGCAUUUUAGUUACACUUUAAUCCUUAGAAUCACCAAGGUUCCUGUCCCAGUCCACACCAAAGUCUGUGACACUGUUGGAGACCACUGACCACAAAGUCAUUAAACAUACAACAACUCUCAAUCAGACCAUGAAGACCAGGAUAAAACGUGUUCCUCCUGGUGCUAAUGUUACAAAAAUCCAGAUGUCUUUCCCAUCAUUAACACCCAGGUCCUCCAUCAUCUCAAAGCUACAUUUAUUUGGGAGGCAGGCACCAUACACAUAGUGAGAAGACUAAAAGACAAUCUUCUCCAACAGAGGUUUUUAACUACAGAACAUCUGGGUGUCAGACACUCUCCUGUCACCACAAACAAACAACCGAUCCAGUAUUAAUGCAGACUACCUCCAGGCAACAGGGUUAGACCAGCUGUUCCAGUGUAGAGUAAUGUUUCCUACACCAUGCGUGUUUAUAAACCCCCAGGGGAACUUAUAAAGACACUCAAAUUCUAACUCAAGGGACAGGACAGAACCUGGGAUUAUGGCUGUUUCCAGGUAAUGAUGCUGAUAGAAGUCUGGGAUUAAACUAUUUAAGUGCUUUUGUUCUUUGUGAAACCUUAUUGUUUUCGAAAGAACACAAAAAGAGAUAACAAACAGUUCAAUUAUGCCCAUGUUACUCAAUUUCAAUAAUUAUCAAGUUUGCCAACCCUGCUCAACUUAUUCUAUCAUUAAAGUAUUUUUAUUUAAAGUAGAGCAAAACAUUUAUUAAGAAAAAGAGAAAUAUAGCUACUGAAAGCAGAUUCUCAGGAUACAUAGUUUUAAAACAUAUUUUUACAAGCUAUACUGUUCAGCUGCUUAACUAGGAAAGUUAAUUCAUUGUUUCAGGCUCUAAGAUCCCAGUAAAGCAAAUCAAGCAUGCCGACUGAGCUGCUACAAUGUGACAACAUUCUGAAGAUGACAGGACCUGACAGCAUGGAGCUAUUGCCACAGGAAUCAAAACUCUCCACGAAGUCUUUGUGAUCACAAGUGUAAAGAUCUUUUAAUUCAAUCCAACCAUAACCUGUCCUCUCCUUACCCUGCUCAAAAGCCUCCUCUUCAAUAGGAAUCAGACCCUGAGAAGUAAUACUCCUGUAAGAUUCCUAUUUGCUUCAAGUAAGCCAGAAUAACAGAGCCAUGUUUCCAUUUUCUACCCCUACUGUUUUAUCAGGUUAUAACUUCCUUUACAGAGAACACAUAUGGAAAGUCUCUAGACUCCCCAGAGAAACAGAUGGCAGUACAGUAUCUAAGAAUCAUCAGCAUUGGGGCAACCAUUUAGCAGAAACAUUCAAAACUCAGGCAAAUAAGCACACUGCUUACCGGUAGGAGUUCUGGUUGGCAGAGUCUUCUCCUCAUCUUUUUCAUCUGUAUACUUGAAUUCUCUUUUAGGCCGAGGCCUGGUGAUUGGUCUGUCGGAUUCUCUGGUGUGGUCUAUCAAGUGCUUGCAUGGAGGCAGGUAGAUGUCAUCGGACUCAUCCUCAGAGGCACUCAGAUCGAGAGCACUCCCUUCCUGGUCACCACUGUUAAUUUCUUCACUGGAGCCAUUGCUCAUUUUUUGUCGGAAAGGGGUGAGAUGAACACGCUCUUCCACAUUAAAAUCAUAAGCGUCACUGGAACCAAUAGACCUAUCCAAUUUUGUGGGUUGUAAAGUGUGCUUAUCUUUACUUUUCUUGCCCUUACACCUCAGUGAGGAUUUUGAUUUGCAUUUCUGGUUGGUUCUUCGCUCUACUCUUUUCUGUGCACGUUGAUGCUUACUUUCUGUUUGUUCACGUUCAGAUGGUAAAAUGACUUUUGUUUUAGCAUUCUUUCCUGAGUAAGUCAGUCUAGGGGAUAAGUUAAUUUGGUCCUUGUUCCACAGACAAACACUUUGUUCUACAUUUUCAAGUUUGUGCAGAGUUUUAGUUGGGUCUUUACACCCACUUCUUCUAACUUCCAAAGACUGUCUCACCCAAUGACUGGCUUCACAGUCCUCCAAAGCAGUGGAGCAACUUACAUUACUAAAAUCUUUCUUUAAGUGGCGACGGAAAGACACAGUCUUAGGUAAGAUGUCAUCAUUAGGCUCGACUU